rnacentral:tRNA from 1 species
GCCUUCGUGGUGUAACUGUUAACACACUCGGCUCGUAUUCGAGAGGUCCAGGAUUGAGUCUCGACGAGGACA